rnacentral:rRNA from 1 species
UACGGAGGGUGCAAGCGUUAUCCGGAUUUACUGGGUUUAAAGGGUGUGUAGGCGGACUAUUAAGUCAGGGGUGAAAUCCCGAGGCUCAACCUCGGAACUGCCUUUGAUACUAUUAGUCUUGAAUGUUGUUGAGGUGGGCGGAACGGGUCAUGUAGCGGUGAAAUGCAUAGAUAUGAUGUAGAACACCAAUUGCGAAGGCAGUUCACUAAGCUGUGAUUGACGCUGAGGCACGAAAGCGUGGGGAGCGAACAGG